GGAUGUGAGGAUGAUCUAGCUGCGACACCUGCCACCACAUUGAUCUUUAGGGUUGAUUCGACUGAUCUGGCUGGCUAGGCGGGUGUCCCCUUCCUUCCUCACCACUCACUCCAUGUGCGUCCCUCCCAAAGCUGCCCUUCUCUUGGGAAAAUUGAACUUUACAUCUCUCAAUUUCCCUUUACUUGAUUGUGACUGUGAUACUCUUUUUUUUGGUUACCUUAGAAGUUAUAACACCAACUGAUACAAAAUCCAAGCUUUUUAAUAUUUAUAUCUUUAUUCAGAGUAAUACAGGUUCCUUAGGCUACUGUAGAGAACCUUCUUU
rnacentral:snRNA from 1 species